ensembl:lncRNA
CUAAAGUCGUUUUACUUUAGAUGCUUUCCGAAAGGUUGUCCACGUCAUUUCCAGAUUCCAUGAACAGAUAAUCUCCAAGGUAUCACUCAAGUUAAAGAGACGGGACUUCUUCCCUCCCCACCCGUCUCCACGCAUCAGUGGAGGGGAGGGAGGAGACGGCGGACAGAAGAAGGAGGGGGGGCAAAGUGAGAAAAGCAAGAUGAGAAAGGGGUGUGGAAGGAAGGAUGAGAGGAGGGCAGGGAGAGAGGACGAUUAGGGCUGGUGGAGAGCCCGGGGCGUCUGCCCGGGCACGGGACCCGGUCCCGCAGCGCGCAGCCAGCUCCGCGGCCCCGGAGCAGUCGCAGCCCCUGCCCGGCCCGGCCCGGCCCGCGAGCCGCCUUCCCGCUCCGGACUGCGGCGGGCAGCGCUCGCGGGAGGCCCUAAGAAGAGAGAGUGAGAUUAUUGGACUGUGAGCUUUUCCUUAACUUCUCACAAGAGCAGGAGCAUGAGGAGGUGGAGUGGUGAUGAAAACCAAUAAGCCAGUCUAUCACAACAUGAUUUAGAAAUUCCAGUGGUCCCAAUUCUGCCUGGUAUUCCUUUCAAAGGGUUUUUAUUUUCCCAGUGCAUUGAUUUUUGAUUGUCAUGGAGAAUGUCAGCAGUUUACAAGCUGUGGUGGAUUGCCAGCUUGAGUUGGAGGGAAGUAAUGCAGAGAGCAGAGGUGUCCGGAUUCAUGACCCUCCUGCCACGCGCAGUCUACUCUGCAGCUCGUCCUCCUCGUCAGGACCUCAAGAUGCUGGGGCGCCCUCUGGUCUCUCUUCAGCCCUCGUCCCUUCUUUAUCCACACUCAGGUUGUCUCUACUGUUCCCAUGGCUUAAAAAAAUGUACAUAUUCAGAAGUUCUCCAGAUUUAUGUAGCCGGCACCCUGAAUUCCCAUGGCCUCUAGACAUGGCUAUCCAAUGGCUCUACCACAUCUUCCUUUGCAUGUCUAAUCCACAUCUCAGAAUACACAGGUCCCAAGGCAACCGCUCUAUGUUCCAUCUGAACUUGUUCCUCCCCAAAUCUUGCCUGUUUUUCUUCUGGUACCACUAAACCCCUGGUUGCUUGGGCCAAAAAUAUGGAUGUCAUUCUUGACCCCUCUUUUUCCCUCCCACUUGCAUCCAAUCCAUCAGCAAGUCUUCCUGGUUCUGCUCUAAUAUAUAUCCCUUAACAAGCCUGUGAAAUGCUGCAUCAUUGGAUCCUGGCCACUAUUUCAAGCUCAUCCGUGUAAAACAGGCCUUUUCCCUUAUCACUCUUCAUAGCACAAAGCCGCCCUGGGAAUUAUAUUUAUACUUAUCUGUUUAUCUAUUUAUUGUCUCUUUCCCCUAUUAAGGAAGGACCUUUCCAUUUUUAUUCUCAGGCCCAUACCUAAAAUGCUGCCUGGAACACUGUAGACACUCAAUAACACUUUGAAUGAGUGAAUUCAUAGCCAUCACAUGAGUCCCUCAGCAGAAACAGGCUUGGGUUGGCUCAGAAUCAGAUUGACAGCUGCACACAACUGCCAAUGUGCCAGGUGUGCAUUCACAAUCACGUUGUUUGUUUAUGAAAUACAUUCUUGGCUUUUCUUUUGAAUACAGAAAGCCAAAAAUGUCAUAUUGAUUCAAAUAAAUAAUUCUACUUAUUUUCAACUCAAGAUAAUUCUAUAAGAAUGAAAGCUCUCAAAAACGAGGCAAAGGAAAGUCGUUUUGUUUUUAUUUGAACUAUCCAUCUCUCCAAUCAUCCUUCUCUACCUCCGGAAUUUCUAUACUUGGGAACAUACUUUGUGUCUCCUCCCAUAGUCAAAAAUGAUGUUCAGACUCGAUGAUAGUGAUCAUAGGAAGCAUUACUAUGCCAAAUCAUUUCAAAUUGUGCAGUAGCCAAAGUACAUACAAGUAUGUCAUGGUAAUAAAUCUGUCUUAUUUACUCUAACAACUUUUCAAGCAAUAGCCAUAAUAAAUUAACUUUCCAUUGUGAUUUUCAUAUCUAUCACCAGAAAAGUAGUGUCUGUUUCAGAUCUUUAAGUUCUAUUUGAUGUAUUUAAAUGACCCUCAAUAAUAAACUUCAGAGUUGUCUUGACCUGACUGAUAAUGAAUUAUAUAUGUUCAUUUGCCUGGGCCUGCAAUAAAUCAACUACCAGGAAAUGUAUGAAAUGUGCUGCUGUAAAAUCCUGGUUUCCCUCUCCAGAAUAUAUUUGAGUAAUUACUAAUGUAUGUUUAUUGUUUUCAGGCCAGAUUUAAUCUGUUAAUCAUGGAGCUUAUAGCUCCUCCUAUAUUCUAUACGUUGGUUGAUGGUACCUUCUUUUACCUGCUCUCCCAAGCCAGAAGAGUCAUUCCGUAAUGCCCGGCUCCUCUUCAUUUCACAUAGUAUGGGUCGCUGUAUCCUCUCAGUUCUGCUUACAGAACAUCUCUGGCAUCUAUUCCCUUUUCUCCAGCACUGUGGCCCCUAUUAAAGGUGAACCCAUCCUAGCCUCACAGAGAUGUAUUGACCUGGCUUCUGACUGUACUACACCUUCCCCAUAAAACCAGAGAGCUCCGAAUCCUGUCCCAGAGCCCUCUCCCUGAAAGGUGUAGGGUUUGGGAAUGGCCAGUCAUCUGUUACUGCAAGCUCAACUGUGAAGAGGCGGCUUGAGGUAAGAGACUACACAAAGAGUGUGAGCUGUGAUAUCAGACAGGGAGGGUUUCAGAUCCUGUCUCUGCCUCUAGCAGGGGUAUCAUCCUGGGCAAGUUCACCUCUCUGGAACUUAAGUCAGCCAUAUUUGACUUUGAGGUAAUAAUUCACACUUCAUAGGGUUGCUGUGAAACCUAAAUAAGAUCAUGUGUACUAAAAGGUAUUUCCUGACGUGUUGGAUGCUCACCAGACAUUAGUUCUCUUCUUGCAUUCUCCUACCGCUUCUAGGCACCAUCAUAUGUUACCCAGAACACACCUGCAGAAACCCUGCCUUCUUUCCUUGCCGUCUUAUACUGAUCUCUUUGGGUAGCAAGGAUUCCCUUAUUUCUCAGCCAGGAUAAGGGAACCUGAGUGAGACUCUGUUCUGUCUCAGGGAACCUGUUUCUUUCGAUGCUUCUGCAAAUCCUCAUUCUAGAAUAACUAGAAACUAUUUCUCUUCAAGCUAUUUUCUUGCUUUAAUAUAUAUCAAUAACUCCCCCUAAGUUACAAACAAAAAUACAGAUUUCUUAGCCUUCUCUGUCCUACCCUUGCAUAUUUUUACAAACUCAGCUCUGACACUCAUUCUUUUUAGUUGCUUGGCUUCCUUGUCAAGUUCAUGGUCUUUCACUUUUCUGUGCCCUACGUUGCCCUCUCUCAUGAGAAUGCCUUUCUCUGCUUGAAUGUCCAGUAAGCACCUCAUAUUCUUGGGUGAAGUUCUCUGUAAAGCUCUGUCAACCUUGACCUCAUCUCAGGACGUCAGUUUUUCCCAGCUUAGUCUUUCCAUGGAACUUUGAUAUGUCUCUGGUCAUAUUGGUACUAUUGUGUACUGUUUCUCUUACCACUAUCAUGUAAAUUCCUUGAAUGGAUGACAGUACCACAGCACCUAGUAUGCGCUUUAAGGUCCAUAAAUAAUUAAUUGAUAAUGGAAGGUAUUAUUAUCAUUAUUCCUAUUGCCUUUACCUAUUUAAAAAUUUUUCUUUUCCUAGAUUUUUUUGUCAAACUAUGCUACCAUUUUGUAUUCUAUGUCAUAAACUAAUAUGAUCGUUAUGCAAAUGCUAUUUUCAUAUAAUUCUGAACACCAAGAUUUGAAAACCUAGAUGAACACUCUGGUAUGUAUACUUCUCUCAUUUGCAUAAAAAUGACAUUCUGCAAUUGAGAUUUCAUGGUUGAGAAAUUUCAAAGCCCUGUUUAAAGAAAAAAUAACCUUAGAAAAAUUAAUCAUGUUUUAGCCAGUUUGUUAAAUAAAUAAAUUGAAAAGCAAAGAAGCAUAAUUUUAACAACCUUCAAAAUAAACACUCACCUUACUUCCAAAGUUCUUUCAUAUUGCAAAUUAGUGCCAAAAAAUACAUCCCUACCAUUAAAAAGACUCCUUACUUGGAAAAGCAUCAGGAGAUAAGGAGCAGCUGGCAUCCAGUUAUCCACCACAUUUAGCUCAGUACAAGCAGGCCAAAAGGGACCACACAUACCCAGGAUCUACAUCCUUCUCUCCUAGGGUAACUUCAUGGACUUCUGUGGUUCCCUGCAUAGGCUUUUCAUCACUGAGGUGAAAAUCAGAGAGAGGUGAGCACUUACAUGUCUAGCCACUGCGCCUCGUCUAUGGCAGAUCUAGACCAGAAGGUGUGAAGAUUUCUGUAAUGUCAUCUGGGAAGGGGGAGGGUAAUUGUACCAUCCUUUCCCAUGUUUGUGGUAUGUUUCAUAUUAUUUACAUUACUUUAAGAUCCUUUUGUAAAUUCUGUCCAUCUCUUAAGAAAUCUGAUAGGUUAUCAUAUGUCUUUACAUUCUUUAGUUUGCUCAUGAGAAUUUCAAAAACCUACUUUAUGAGAUAACUGACAAAGUGAGGAACUUAUACUUUCUGACAUAACAUGAACUGAGACUGUCAUUCAAGUUUGAUUAGUUAAGCAUUAAAAAAUAUCAGUCUCAUGCCUGGGGAAAGAUAAUAUUUUUAGGCCCUUUUUAUUACUUUAAAAGAAGUUUUAUAGCAAAGUCAGUUUAAGUAUAAAUACAACUCUUAAUUACCUGUGACAAUGGGGAAUGGAAAAUUGAAAUCUACAGAUAAUUCAAAAUUUUAUUCUAAAGAGCUUCCCACUGAGCUUCUUAACAUUGCUCAGAGCUGAGCCUUAAUUUGCUUGGACUCUAUCUUCUUUUUUUGACACCUCAUCAUGGAGGAGGGGUUGAUCAGCAGUAAAUUAGACUCUAAGUAGAGAAGAGCAGAAAAAGAGCAAAAUCAGAAACCAAAGGACUUGAAUCAACCAGAAAAUUCAUAUCUAAAUCUUGAAAAUAGUAAGUGAAAUAAAUCUUUGUUUUGGUUUUAUAAUAGAAAUAGACAUUCUAAGAACUAGAUAGAAACCAUUUUGAGUGUGUGAAUUUUCUAGAAAGGAUCGUCUCUUGUCAUUUGAAAAUAUAGAUUAAUACUUUGAUUCAUCUACAUCAAGGAGAGCAAAGAACUAUUUCAAACUUUGUCAAAUCCAUUGCUUUCUAAGCAACAACAAUAAAAGAAAACACAUUUUCUAUUUACUUAAUGGAUUUUUCAAGUGCUGCUCAGAAAAUCAUUUACAGAUGGGAUUCCAUUUUGAAGGUGGGCAAGUAAAGUUUUUGAGUAUUUUUUUUUCUUUUGGUGAGGAAGAUUGGCCCUGAGCUAACAUCUGUGCCAAUCUUCGUCUAUUUUGCACACGGGAUGCCACCUUAGCAUGGCUUGAUGAGCAGUGUGUAGGUCCACGCCCAGGAUCUGAACCUGCAAACCUUGGGCCACUGAAAGCAGAGCACACGAACUUAACUACUACAUCACAAGGCAGGCCCCAACUAAUGCUUUUUAGAUGUUGUGCAGAGUCAGAAUGCAAAAAAAAAGAGUCAGUAAGAUCUGUUCUGAUGCUCUCUUUGGUUCUGCCUCUCCGUUUCAAAAUGCUCACCACCCAACCAGCCAGUACCAUACAGGAAACAAGCAGCAACCACAGAUGGCUUCCUUUGCAGCCUCGUUGACACCUCCUUCUGCCUGUUGCAAAACCUCAGUUUUGUCUCCAAACUCUGAUAUUUUGGCUGGCUGACUUCAUGAGAAUUAUCCAAUAAUUUCUAAAAGGGUAUUCAUUUUCAUUUAUUAUCAUUUGAGGAUAAGUAAUAUUCUAUACUUGUAUGUAACAUGCAGAAUCUGAAAUCCGGCACUGAAAUUGUCAAAUGAAGCAUAAGUGAUACGUUAGAUGUGCCUAAAGAGAUUUUCAUCUUUUUAAGAGCGAAAAUCCAAAUCCUCCAAAGUGUGACAUUUUCAGAAGGCAUGCACACCGCCCCCCCAUAAUCGUUCUCUGGGGAUUUCCCACUUCCUGAGGGGUCUCUUGGUUCCACCUGCGCCUCCGCUGGCUGGAGUGAGACUGAGAAGAGCUAUGUCUGGAUUGGCACAUCUACCUCCUAGUCGCCAAGUGUGCAAUUACCACUGUUCGUUGCCUCAGGUAAUCCAGCCACUCAUGCAAGACACAGCAUUAUUCUCAUGGAGAUAAUACAUAGAUCCUCCUUUGGAAAGAGAAUCAUUUGUUUGAACUGUUUGUGGAAAUAAUGAUAGAAACUUUGCUACUUAAUCAAAGGCGUACAAAAUUUGGAAAUACUUUGGAAAUAACUGAUAUCCUCAGUUAAAACCAAUAAUUAAAAUUGCAAUAAAAGUGUAAAUGAAAUGAACUCAAUGAAAUGACUAACCACUAUUCCUUGUUUAAAAUUUUUAAGCUAAAAUAGUCUUUAGUAUGACAUUUCCAUUGAGGUCCCCUAAUGUAAGCAAACUUAACCAUUAGUCUUAUUUGCACAAUAAAUUGAGUCCUAAUAUUUGAUUUGAAAAUGAAUUUUUUAUUUUGAAAAUAAUUUGGCAGAGCAUGAAAAGAGGAAUUCUCCCCAGGCAUUGAAAUAUUUAGUGUAGACACAAGUCUUCUACAGCAUUCUUGCGACUCUAGAGCACCGUACUAGAGGGUCUGUGAGCCCUUUGAAAUUAUGAGCAAAAACGUACGUCUUUGUGUAUAUCAUUUUGAUGGAAAAGUUAAAACAGCUUUCCUCAGAACCACGGCAUAAAACAAAACUUCAUUCGUUGUGUAAAUUCCUCUAUGCUUGUGUGUUUUUAAAGAACGAAAAAUACCCGUGUGUAUGGACUCACUGAAGUGUAUGAAGAAUAUCAAUAAGACCAUCGGCACAUGCACAUAGGUAUAUUUUCAGAGCAACAGGAAUAUUUCUGGUCAUAACAUAAAUGAUAUGUAUUAAAAUGAUACAAUUUUAUUAUUCAUUAGCUCAUUAUGAUUUCAUUUAUCAUCAUAAAGAUAUUAAUUUCUCAUGAUUUCUCUUGUUCACUUUAUGGAAAAAUUCCUUUAUUGAAAAAUAAAUAUCUUGAAAUUAAUGGCAGCAAAAUAAAUUUGAGAAGAUCUGUUUAAUGUGCAUUUAGUGACAUCUCACUGAACUUUGCUUACUUUAAAAUGCAGAAAAAUAUUUUGGAUGUUUAAAAAAUGAAUUGCAGAGCUGGAGAGCUGCCUCUGUGAGCGCUGACAUUAAUUGCCACCUGUACCUUGAAUUGGGGGACUCUGAUGGACUUGCUCCAGAUAAUUUAAGUUGUGUAAAGAAGUUUCUGGGUAAAAAUUGACAUCACUUAACAAAAAUGCUUUGCCAUGGGUCUUUUUGUAAUCAAUGCCUAGGGCACAUGUAUUGACAUUUGAAUUAGAAAUGAGUUUCAAAUAAAUAUUCCAUAUAAAUAACUAUUAGAUACAGUUCCACGGGAGAAGGAGCUAGCUCCUCUUCAGUGCGGUAUCUUUAGAGUCUGACAUUCAACCAAUAGUCAAAGAUUGAAAAAUCAGUCAAUCCAUAUAUGCUGUAAAUCCAUAGUUAUCUUUCUGGUUUCUGUGAGUACUAAGAGUGGUGCAUGACUCUGGGAUAGUCUAAAUACCUCUCUAGAUGUUCUUCUAUACAGGGGAGGAAUUUCCCAAUACGAUGGACAAGCGUUAUGUUACAGUAAAGUGAUAAACUAAUUGGAGAUAACAAAACAUUUUGGCCUACAAACUACGUAAUAGUGAUAAAAACAUUACUAACUAACUUUCAUAGCUCCUUUGCAUGUUAAAUGGUAUUAAGAAAAGUUAUUUAAGAAGUGUAAACAAGGCAAAGGGGCGUGCUUUUAAUGUCUAACAGGUCCACUCCAAAUUAUUUAGUAAUCUAGAGAAUGUGCUUGUUAAAUUCACUGUUGGCUAUUGAUGAAAAGUCCAGACUUAAUGACAUUACAUGUUAACUUGUAAAUUUUUUCUAACAGAAAUAAUUUCUGUCCAGGAGAAAAAGAAACUCAAUUGAUACAGAUUAUUAGAAACAAUUUCUAUACAGGAGAAAAAUAAACCCAAGUGUUACAGAUUAUUAUCCCAUAAGAUGUUAAUCAGUUUUGAAUCUUACCUAGAAAUCUUUACUAGUAUUGUUUCAAAAUGCCUAUAAAUACCCAAAUCCUCAAAAUACUCUGAAUCAGCCUUGCCAUCUGAUUGGUUUAUUUGUUAAUUAAUGAGUUUAAUAAAAUCUUUGCACAUCUUUAUUUUAUAUUUGAAUGAGACAUGUUAUUAACGUUCUGAAAAUGAUACUUAAAGAAUGGAUUAUUGUAAUCUUCACAACCACAGGAAAUAAGUACUAAAAUUGUCCCAUGCACUGUUAUUAUUACUGAUAGUACCAUGCGUCUUAUUGUCAACCCUGUAGAGAAUCUGAGCAUUAGGGAGGUUAAGUGGCUUGUCCGAGGUCACACAGGUGAAUGGGAUUGCAAACUCUCUAAUGCCAACAACCCAUGCCCCUCACUGUCCUGCGACACUGCCCGGAGGCGGGAAGAAAGCUCACGCUGAAAGACUGGAGCUGAAAGCUGUGUCUGCAUGAGUCUGAAAAGCACUGUUAAAGGCAAAGUGAAUUUAUAAAAGUACUUCAUGAAAUUAAUGUGAUGGGAGAAGCUAUUAAUAACGUAUAAUGCAUAUGUAUGAUAUAUAUAUGAAUUGGCACACACAGGCAUACACAGAAAUACUGCCUCAUGUAAGAAAUGGUCAUCAUAGGCAUAUUCUGCACGUGAGUCAUAAUCAAGGCAAAACCUUUGUCCCUUUCGGAAAUCCAGCUGCAUCAUUGUCGAUUGCCCCAGGGUUUCACAUUGUACAUAUGGGCAAAACAGUGGGGUUUGAAAGUUAUAUUCAAAAUGUUUGAAACUUUUAUCAAGAGUCCCAGAACAGAAAGCCUUCUGGAUAGUGGAUGAAUAGAGAAAAUAUUUGUGAGGUUUUGUUUCCUUUGUUGUUUUGUUUUUGUCUUCAAACUGGUCUAACAGGGAUUAUGCGUCUUGAAAUCACCAUUUUCUUACCUGAAGGUUCUUCUUUAGGACAGCAGGGUCUGAAUCAACAACAGCUUUCCUUCGGCCAUCAACGAAAGGCCACGUAUGAGAGGUUUUUGCAUCUCAGUCCGACUUUUAAGCUGCAAAAGGUAACACGCAGUUUGUCUUUGUCUGCAGCGUUCUGCACUGUGGCCCCGAGCUGCUAAGCUCCCGCCCUAGUGGGGUCUGCUUCCUUUGAGAGUUGUCUGUAAAUAAAAGCAGAUAGAACCAACAGCCUUCUGCCUCCCUUAGGUGUCUGGAAUGUUCUCAAACUGGUCCUAGGAAAAAAUAAAAGCCUUAACUGUGGUCCUCUUAAAGCCACUUCCCAAGUGUUGUCCCUGAGCCCAUUAUAUCAACAUAACCGAAUCUGCUUGUUUAAAAACAUGCAUACCUCUUGGCCUCACUCCUGACCUGCUGGAUCAGAGCCUCUCAGCUGCGAUCAGGGAAAGAGAAUUUCAACGAACCACUCAGCUGACCCCUGCAGCCUAUAAAGCUCUUUGAAAGCAGUCCUCCUUACAGUUACACACCUUGGACUUGUACACAUCUUAACUUUUGACUCUGAAAAAAGCAUCUACUUGUAUUUUAAAUAAGCAACUUGGGAAUCAGAGCUUGGGUGUUAAAUUCUGAUCAAUUUUCAAGGAAAAUUAUUUUGUUCCAACUUCAAAAAAACACUUAGAUUGGCUGUUUAACUCAGGAGGGUAUUUUGUUUUGUUUGGCAAGAAAAUACUUAGUAAGAUGAGUAUCCUAACUGUUGCAAAUUACCUGAUAAUCACAUUCCUGAUGUGUUUCAAUGGCUGUAUUUCUGGGACAGAGAUGAUAUAUUUGGAUGUAAAACCCAACUUGGGAUGCCGCUAAUCAGUAAAUUACAAGUGAUGUGUGAUUGAAUUUCUCAAUUAGAAUUGUAACCUAGUGUGUGUGUGUGAGUGUGUGUGUGUGUAUACAUAUACACCAUAACAAAUAGUGUUAUGCCGAUGUUGUUUUAGAGUCUUUCCUUUUAUAUUUUUAAAGAACCAAUACUUAAUAAAUGUUAAAUUUCUGGGGAAAAUAGCUACUAACAUCUGUAUAGAUCUUUAGCCUUUACAAAGUAAUUUCUAUUUCAUAUUUAACCCUCUUAAUGGAUAUUACUGUUGCUUUUGAUGACAGUAAUAGUAACUAAUGUACAUGCUGUCUUCAUCCUCCUUAGCCCUCCAGUUCCAUCCUCCCCUCAUAUUACUAUGUCACUUCAUGCAGACUAUAAGGUGCAUUUAUUCUAUAGGGUGAUAAUCAUCUGUGUAAGUGUGUCCCCUCCAUGAGACUCUGGGUUCUUUGAGAAAUGGAACCAUGUCUUUUAAUCUGUGAUGCCUAGUACAGUGAUAAGCACAUAUCAUUGAACAGUGAUGAAUGAAUAAGUGAAUGUAUGAAUGAAUGAAUGAGUAAGAAAACAAUGGCUUAGACUGAGGAUCUGCAAACUAUGGCCUGCAGGCCAAAUCCAUCCUGCCACUGCUUUUGGGGUUUUUUCUUCUUAUUAAAGUAUAGUUGACAUAGAAUGUUGUAUCAGUUUAGGUAUACAACACAGUGAUUCAACAUUUAUUUACAAAACGGUCACAUUGAUAAGACUAAUAACCAUCUGUCAUCAAUAACAAAGUUAUUACAGUAUUAUUGACUAUAUUCCCUAUGCUGUGUUUUCAUCCCCACAACUUAUUUAUUUUGUGACUGGAAGUUUGCACCUCUUAUCCCCUUCACCUAUUUCGCCUCCCUCUACCUCCUCCCCUCUGGCAACCACCAAUUCGUUCUCUGUAUGUAUGAGUCUAUUUCUGAUUUGAUUUAUUUGUUCAUUUGUUUUGUUUAGAUUCCACAUAUAAGUGAAAUCAUACGGUAUUCUUCUUUCUCUGUCUGACUUAUUUCACUUAGCAUAAUACCCUCUAGGUCCAUCCCUGUUGUCACAAAUGGAAGGAUUUCACUCUUUUUUAUGGCUGAAUAAUAUACCAUUACAUAUGUAUACCACAUCUUCUUUAUCCAUUCAUCUACCGACGGAUACGUAAGUUACUUCCAUAUCUUGGCUAUUGUUAAGCAAUGCUACAAUGAACAUAGGAGUGCAUAUAUCUUUUCAAAUUAGUAUUUUCAUUUUCUUCAGAUAAAUACCAGAAGUGGUAUUGCUAAAUCUACUUCUGUGGUUCUAUCGAACUACUACUUGAAUAGUGGUUCUAUUCUUAAUUUUUUGAGGAACCUUUAUACUGUUUUCCAUAGUGGUUUCAACAAUUUACAUUCCCACCAACAGUGCACAAGGGUUCCCUUUUCUCCACAUCCUCGCCAACAUUUGUUAUUUGUUGUCUUUGGAUAAUAGCCAUUCUAACAGGUGUGAGGUGAUACCUCUUGGUGGUUUUGAUUUGCAUUUCCCUGAUGAUUAGUGUUGGAGAGCACGUUUUCAUGUACUUGUUCUGCCACCUGUUUUUGGAUAACCCAGAAACUAGAAAUGGUUUUUACAUUUUUAAAUUAUUUUAAAAAAUCAAAAGUAUGAUAAUAUUUCAUGACACAUAAAAAUUGUAGGAAAUUCAAAUUUCAGUGUCCAUGAAUAAGAUUAUGUGUGUGUGUGUGUGUGUUGGGGAAAUCAGCCCUGAGCUAACAUCUGUGCCAAUCUUCCUCUAUUUUAUGUGAGAUGACACCACAGCGUGGCUUGACAAGUGGUGUUAGGUCUGCGUCUGGGAUCCGAACCUGAGAGCCCCAGGCUGCUGGAGUGGAGUGUGCCAACUUAACCACUACGCCACCAGUCAGCCCCAUGAAUGACAUUUAUGAGAAAACAAACAUGCUCAUUUGUUUAGAUAUUGUCAAUGGCUGCUUUUGUGCUCCAAUGAUAGAGUUGAGUAUUAGCAACAGAGAUCAUAUGGCCUGCAAAAUUGAAAAUAUUUACUAUUUGGCCUUUUACAGAAAGUUUACUGAUUCUCCGGAUUAGACAGAUUCAUUGUCUUACCCCGGAUGCUACAAAAAGUAAAUGAUAGAUCUGGAAUCAAAGUCAGAUGUUUUGACCUCAAAUUUAAUGCUUUUUCCUCCAUACUUUGCCAGCCCGGAAAACUGAUUUUAGUUCUAGACCAUUAACGCUUGCUUCCAAUUCUAGAGUUUCUUGUUAGGCAGAACUGGAUUUAAAUCUUAACUUUACUCAGUACUGGCUACAUUACUUGUGGAUCUAGUGCAAAAUGAAAAUGCCCCGGACCUGCAGCGCCAUCCCAUGGCAGACAGGAACCCUUCUGCUCUGGGAAAUGCUAAGUACAGGGUGGGCCACCCAGUCCCCAGCCUAAAGUGCAAUGGAGCUGCCCACCUCAGGCAGGGAUGGCCACUGUCUCCCCCCAUCUCCCGAGACCCGUGGGACACUUGCUGACCCUGGCCAUCCAGGAUGGAGGGUGUCAGUGAUCAGGGAGGGAUAGACAAUUAGUUGGGAUCCAGAGCACCUGGGGGCCGGGAGGGAAGGCGGGGUGACACAUGAGCUGAGACUCGAAGCCCCUGCCUCAUGCUCCAUUGUCCCAUCAGACUUCACUCACAAAAUAUAAAUUUGAAGAUAAAAUUGCUAAGAAUCUCAAGGUAGCAGCCACAGAGCAUUAAACCCCAAGCGCAGGCCCUUUCUGAGCAGGGUCACACAGGUUGUACUUCCAUGAAGCCAGCCCUGACCCUACCACAUAACCAGACAGGAUGCCUUCACAAGUUAAAGAAUCUGUCUGAGACCCAGUUUACACAGUGGUGCAAUGUACUUGGUGGUAUCUAUCCCAAAAAGUUGGGAAGUCUCAGUAGACCACAUAUAGAAAACAAUUAGCAAUGUUCUUGGCUAUUUAUUUUUCAGUUUCCUAUACCUUUUUCCAGGACUGACUCAAGAAGUAUUACCCCUAUCAAAAAAGACUAAAUGUCACUUCAUUAGGCUUACGUUGAAACCAAACUCCUUCCCAUUGUGAACUUCAUCAAUGGGUGGAUCGUAUGUUACCCUAAAGAGAUGUCCAGACUAAAAGUAAAUUGAGCCAUUAGUUAGAGCCAUUUUGGCUCCUUGUGAAUAAGUCUUUCUCUGGACACUCGUUAGCUAGUCUAUACCCUCUGGGUCUACCCUUGGAAAGCAAAUGAGAAACCUUCCCCAGGGUACUUUCGGACCUGUGUAUUAGUUGUAGUGUGCCACUGUAAGGGAUCCUAGCUUGACACUUUUAUGGUCACAAGCAUUAAACCUGCACCAACACUUAUAAUGUUUACCCUGGUUAUUCUCCAGGAUUCUACCCCUUCAGAAAAGGAAGUGUCGUUUGUUCCUCUUCCUUCAGCAAAGCAGUCAGCAUGCAUUUUAUGGUCUCCAGUGGAUUUACUGCCGACUUGGUCAGAUGGAUUCCAUACUAGUGUUCAGCUUCUCUUGGGGGUCUUUGUGAUUCUAUGCAACAACUCACAGCUUUUUUUUUUUUUUGAGGAAAAUUAGCCCUGAGCUAACAUCUGCUGCCAAUCCUCCUCUUUUUGCUGAGGAAGACUGGCCCUGAGCUAACAUCCAUGCCCAUCUUCCUCUACUUUAUAUGUGGGACGCCUGCCACAGCAUGGCUUGCCACGCAGUAUGUAGGUCUGCACCCGGGAUCUGAAUCGGCGAACUCCAGGCUGCCGAAGUGGAACUUUCGAACUUAACUGCUGUGCUACCUGGCCGGCCCCCCAACUCACAGCUUUGGGAAAGAAGACAAUAAUUCUAGUCUGUUACCACAGAGAACUAGGAUUGUAAAUAAACUCAAUGUAUUCAUAAAAGUACCAUUAGCAAGAAGAUGAUCUCACCUGUUGAGAUGUUGAUUCUGUUCAACAUGAGGAAGGUCAUUUCCUCUUUUAGUUUUUGUCUUUUGUCCUAGGAGUCACAUAAUGAUGUGUCCUAGUAAAUAAUAAUUUCCGAGCAGAUUUUGCUCUUUGUAUUGAGACACACUUGACUUUUAUUUGGAAAAUAAUUUUAGUAUUCAUAACUGGUUUGUUUUUUCAUAAAAACUGGUCAUUUGUUUUGAAUAAUAGAAGCAUUCAAUAAGUAUUCAGUUAAGGUGAAGCUAUAGAAUUCC